rnacentral:rRNA from 1 species
GACGAACGCUGGCGGCGUGCCUAAUACAUGCAAGUAGAACGCACAGUUUAUACCGUAGCUUGCUACACCAUAGACUGUGAGUUGCGAACGGGUGAGUAACGCGUAGGUAACCUGCCUGGUAGCGGGGGAUAACUAUUGGAAACGAUAGCUAAUACCGCAUAAUAUUAAUUAUUGCAUGAUAAUUAAUUGAAAGGUGCAAUUGCACCACUACCAGAUGGACCUGCGUUGUAUUAGCUAGUAGGUGAGGUAACGGCUCACCUAGGCGACGAUACAUAGCCGACCUGAGAGGGGGAUCGGCCACACUGGGACUGAGACACGGCCCAGACUCCUACGGGAGGCAGCAGUAGGGAAUCUUCGGCAAUGGACGAAAGUCUGACCGAGCAACGCCGCGAGAGUGAAGAAGGUUUUCGGAUCGUAAAGCUCUGUUGUAAGAGAAGAACGGGUGUGAGAGUGGAAAGUUCACACUGUGACGGUAUCUUACCAGAAAGGGACGGCUAACUACGUG